GAUGAACGCUGGCGGCGUGCUUAACACAUGCAAGUCGAACUGGAAUUACUUUAUUGAAACUUCGGUCGAUUUAAUUUAAUUCCAGUGGCGGACGGGUGAGUAACGCGUGGGUAACCUGCCUUAUACAGGGGGAUAACAGUCAGAAAUGGCCGCUAAUACCGCAUAAGCGCACAGAGCUGCAUGGCUCGGUGUGAAAAACUCCGGUGGUAUAAGAUGGACCCGCGUUGGAUUAGCUUGUUGGUGGGGUAACGGCCCACCAAGGCGACGAUCCAUAGCCGGCCUGGGAGGGUGAACGGCCACAUUGGGACUGAGACACGGCCCCGACUCCUACGGGAGGCAGCAGUGGGGAAUAUUGCGCAAUGGGGGGAAACCUGAUGCAGCGACGCCGCGUGAGGGAAGAAGUAUCUCGGUAUGUAAACUUCUAUCAGCAGGGAAGAUAGUGACGGUACCUGACUAAGAAGCCCCGGCUAACUACGUGCCAGCCGCCGCCGUAACAC
rnacentral:rRNA from 1 species